UACAGAGGUCUCAAGCGUUAUUCGGAAUCACUGGGCUUAAAGGGCGCGUAGACGGGUCGGCGCAUCGGUCGCUGAAAUCCCCCGGCUCAACCGGGGAACGGGCGCCGAGAUGGCCGUCCUCGAGUGGAGGAGAGGGACCUGGAACUGCCGGUGGAGCGGUGAAAUGCGUUGAGAUCGGCAGGAACUCCGAUGGCGAAAGCAAGGUCCUGGACUCCCACUGACGUUGAGGCGCGAAAGCCAGGGGAGCGAACGGG
rnacentral:rRNA from 1 species